AAUUGCCAUCAUUCAGUUUGGGCACUUUAGAGAGACUGCCGGUGUUAAGCCGGAGGAAGGUGGGGAUGACGUCAAGUCCUCAUGGCCUUUAUGUCUAGGGCUACACACGUGCUACAAUGGGUGGUACAAAGAGCAGCUAACUCGCGAGAGUAUGCAAAUCUCAAAAAGCCAUCCUCAGUUCGGAUUGGAGUCUGCAACUCGACUCCAUGAAGUUGGAAUCGCUAGUAAUCGCGGAUCAGCAUGCCGCGGUGAAUACGUUCCCGGGCCUU
rnacentral:rRNA from 1 species